rnacentral:tRNA from 1 species
AGGGCGAAUAUAGUUUACCCAAAACACUAAGCUGUGGACUUAGCAACAGGAGCCAA